CCUAAUAUCUAAUCUAACCCUACUAUUUUCUCUUUUCUGGUUGUAAGCCACUUCCCCUUGUCCAGUCACACUCUAAAGGGACUGGCCUUGCUGGGAGAGCAGAUUGGAGCAUGGACUCCCUGUCCUGCAGAUCAAAAUUCUCCUGCUGUGCACCGAGAAAAAUGGUAUUUUCAUGCAAAGGAUGCCUGGAUCUGUAGAACACCUACAUGAAGCCAUGUGAAUGUCUGUAAUUCAGUGCAGUUCAAGGCUGUGGGAGCUGCUGAGUGCUCACAAUUUUCUCCUCAGUAGGAACGGUUAGAGAAAUACAUAAAUAAAAAUGUAGGGUUAGAAAUGCCUUUUUUUUUUUUUUUUUUUUCCUUCCUUUUGCAUGCAGUUGCCAGUGGAUGAAGCUGGAUGACCUGUCCUGUUUUAUGGAGGGCCAGCAGGCAGCACCUGAUGCUUCCUGCAGGGGUGGAAAAAGCAGCCUGAAGCACAGGUGAAGGAGUAAAUCACCAUGCAGGGUGGGGAAAUGACACAGCUGGGAGGAUAAAAUGAAAGACUGUAAAUAAAGGGCAGAUUCCUGUAAUUUUUGUCCAUUACAAGCCAGGAUCUCCCUGGCUCUGGAUGACGCAGCCUUGGCUCCAGAGCCCUAAAAUGGGUGAUGUGUCUUCUGCAGGCAAAGGAGCUGGGAAGAGUCACUGCCCCUGGAGAUCUGCCCUUGGCACACGGCAGGCAAGAGGAGGAGGAUCCAAGUCUUGGGUGAGGGGGAGAAAAAUGAAGAAGAAAAGAAAUGAAGAAAUGAAAUCAUCCUUUAUGACACACACACCGCCCCGGUGAACUGUCAGGAGAACAUGGUGUUUUAGACCUGUGACCCCAGAACAUUUAGGAACAUAUUUUUUUAAACUUGUGACCCCAUAACCUAUAGGAACAUAUUCAGCUCUUCCCCAGGAUAAGAAAUCACCUCCCUGCAGCCAGUCCUGGAGGCACCAGUGAUUCCAGCUGCCCCAGGCAGCACUGGGGAGUGGUGGGAGAGCAGCUGCCACUGGGGAAGCACCAAAUUCCCACUGCCAGCAGGGUUUGGUGGGUGCUUUGCCAGCUCCCUGUGCCUUUUCCCUGUCUGUGCUGCCCACCACCCUCCACAGGACCCAAGGGCAGCAGGGAUCCCAGCCACAACCAUGAGUUUCCAUGGCUGUUUCAAAGCUUGGCAAGGAAAAGUGGUGGAAAGCACUUCUAACAAGCGUGUUAGGGGUUUGUUUUUUAAUAUAACUCUGCCUGAAAUGAAUUUGGUUAUUUUGGAAGGGAAAUAAUAACUCAAACGCAUAA